CCUGUGGAGCGUCAUAAAAAAACGCGAGUAGCUUCGGCAAAAGCGGACGCGACGAAGUAGGAA
rnacentral:sRNA from 12 species